GCGGCUGUAACUCAAUGGUAGAGUGUCAGCUUCCCAAGCUGAAAGCUGCGGGUUCGAGUCCCGUCAGCCGCUCCA
rnacentral:tRNA from 1 species